rnacentral:lncRNA from 10 species
AGAAGAGACAACGGAGAGACACCAGGGAUGCAUGCACAGGGGACAGGCCACUUGAAGAGGCAGCACAAGAGGGUGGCCAUCUGCAAGCCAAAGAGAGAGGCCUCAGAGGAAAUCGACUUUGCUGGCUCCUUGGAAUUCAAGGCUCCAGAACUGUAGUCGUUAACUUGAUGUCCUUAUUGGAGGGACAAUUAUUCUGCCAUCUUGCUCCACCUUCUUCUCUGAAUCUGCACUGGUGUUUUGAGAAAUACAGAUUUUAAGUCCCUGAUGUCAUCUGAAGGCUAACGAUAUGUAGUAAAAUACUCUCUCAUGCUGCUGGGCAGCAACAGUGAGCUGCAGCUCCCAGUCAGCCUCAUGGUCACAAGCAUAAACAACUUGAAACUAUACAGAGGACUGUGUUGCUAGCAUUUUUUUGGGAUAAUAAUAAAAAGAAGAAACAAGCUAUACAGUCAAAACUUGAUGCCUUCCUAAAGAAUAAUAUGCCUGCUAAGCCAUCAACAAGUGAUCCUCAGUGGCUUCUACCGGCUAUUCUCGAGACUCAUCUGAAGAGUGAGAAAUUGAUGACCCUGUGGCUGUAGCAUCCCCGUCAUCUAGCAAUUAAUUUUAGUUAAACACUACGAAGAUUCCUCAGGCCCAGUGUGCCCUCAGCUGUGUACAAUAAUGGUGAAUACCCGUACAACCAUUCUGGUUUUCACUUCCAGUACAGUAUUGAAUAAAUGACAUUAGAGUUCAAUACUUCAUUAUAAAAGAGGCUUUGUGUUAGAUGGCUUUGCCCAAUUGUAGGCUAAUGUAUGUGUUCUGAGCAUAUUCAAGGUGGGCUAGGCUAAGUUACAAUAUUCAGUAGAUUAGGUGUAUUACGUUCAUUUCCAACUUAUAAUGUUUUCAAUUUAUGAUGGUUUAUUGGUAUGUAACUUCAUUAUGUCAAGAAUCGUCUGUAUUUAUAACAUAUUUACACAUACAUUUCCAAAUAUAUUUGUAAAAACUUAAUUACUUAACAAUUAGCUGGUUGAUAAAGAGUGUAAAAUUCCUGGCAAUAAAUAAGCCAAAUAACCAACUAAUUCAUUUCUUUGUUCAUCCACAGGGGAGUAUUUCAGUAAUGUGUUACUACUAACAUCUUGCUGGGAGUAUGAAGGCUAUAAAGCUGGCUCAAUCUUACCAGACUAUUGAGCUACAACCAAGAAGAGGCUCCAUUGCUGACUGGCUUUAAUGUAAGUAUCUGAGUGGUGGACUAGAUGACUUCAUUGGACAGCUUUUGUCACUACUGUAAAGUCUGAGGGCCUUUUCUUGCCCCAGGCAUUGAUGAAGCCACAAUUUCCAAGUAGUCUCCCGAAAAGUUUUGCAGAUAAAAUAGUUUCUCAACCUGAGAUUCCUCCUGCCUUUUGCUUUAAGCCCUAUAAAUUCUCACUUCUCUGAUGUAUCUGUGUGGAAUGUCUGUGGGAAUCCACUUAGCACCUGUACAUAUGCAAUCUUAGAGGUUAGGGGCUUAAAAUGUGUAGGGUUUUCAUUAACCGAUAACGGAAUAAAGGUAGAAGAUAAAAUAUUUCCCCUCAUGUCCUCACCUGGGAUAAUUAUGAAGUGAAUUUCAAAGAUCCUAAAAAGGUCAAGCCUCUGUCACCCAUUGCAAUGGACAAUAAUAAGAUAUUUCUAAAUGGUUUGUUUCUCUUUCCCAGUUCCUAUCAUCCAAAUCCUCCUUGCAGCUCCCUGGGACUAUGUACUAAAUUAUUUACUAAACUGGGGGCCUUUGUCUCAGGUUCUCCUGCAGGGGGUAAUCCAGGAUGAGAACAUUAUGAACAAGGUAAUUCACUACUUUCUCCUUUGAAGAAUAUUCGGUUAGAUGGUGUAAAUAGGUUAAGGGUUUUUAACUGAAUGAUGGAAACACAAAGUCAGGGAGAAGAUGUUUCCGCACUCACCUUAAAUUUUUAACACAAACUAGGAGCAACUCAAAUACAAUACAAUGUAACAAAACAAAACUAGGAAUGAAGUGUUGGUUUAAUAUUAAAUAUCUUUUAAAACACUAUUAAGUUACUGAAUUUUUAAAAAGUCAUUUAAUUAUCAUGCCAGAAAGAC